AAAACAAAUCUUUAAGAUUAUUUAAAAUAUAAAGGAAUAGUAAAAAAUAAUACAACUAAUUUAUCUGUUUGUAGUCGGAAAUAAUGUCUUAGACAAUUCACAAAAAAAAACAUUUGCACAAAAAGUGAUAAAUGUGAUCACAUGAAAAUUUGAAACUCAAUCCAGUUUUCAAAAUUAGUUUUAUAAAAAUGAUUUACAUGUAUUAAAAACAAAUUAAGGGAAAUGGAAGUCAGGUAACACACUGAGUCUUUUGAAUAUUUAGUAACAAUCACAUAGAAUAAAUCUACUUUUUCUUUGUCCAGUAAAAGCACUGUGAAAUUCAUGAAUUUUUAAAAAUUUCUCAGAACACUAUUUCUCUAUAAAGUGUGUCUAAUGACAUCAAUCUCACUGAUUACUGUAAGAUUUAAAUGAGAGAAGAUUUAUAAGGUGACUGAUGUAUCUUAAUUCUCUCUCAUCCAGAUGGGUGCCAUGCAAAAUACUGUUUAGAGGUGUUAUAAUUUCUGGUUUUUUUUUUUUUUUUUUUUUUUUUACCUAAUAGCUUCUUGAACCAAGGACAUGUAUUUGCUGCUCUUUUAGUCAUGUCUACUCUUGAAGAGUCCUGGCUCCCAGUUAAGAAGCUGUGUGAUUUUUCCAGGCCUAACCAUAAGCAAUCACAAAGGCCUUACCUGACAAGCCUCAGGAGAAAAACUACCUCUCCAAACUAGCUAGUGCACAGCCACUACAUUGCAGUCUCCAGAGAGUGUGACAAUAAAAAUCUCAGGCCCGCUGAGACCAUCAAACUUCAAGGAGUCACACAACUUGAGCCUUGGCUCCCUUUUUACUGAGGACCCUUAGAUAGGCCUCUGAGAAAGAUCUAACUGCUGUUUUCUCCAAAAUAAUGCCCCCUGUCAGCAGUUAAGAGCGAUCAUCAUCUUCAUCCCUAAUGGCAGUUGGAUGUACCGUUUCAGAAGAGGAAUUUAUGGCAGCAGCAGCCCAUCUGCUUCAAAGACGCUGACUUCAGCAGGGAAGGCGUGGCCGGGGCUCUGCACUCCAGGGAGCCAGGGGGAGCGGGUAACAAGUGGGAGCCACACCCGCUUCUGAGUUAAAGGGGCGAGAGCCCCGCCCUCCAGGACGCAGCUGCAGCCAUCCAAGCUUGGCUGCGGACCCAGGCAUUCCUAUCAACUCAAGGGCCUGGGAAGCUCCUCUGACCCUGCAGGCUUGGAAGUACCUGCUCCCACUGCCUGGCCUCUCCCCACUCCCGGGGUCCUCUCUGAUUUCAGAGCAAAGUUAAAGUCAAGCCCAGGCUCUGUCGCAACCCCUCUAGGUGUGCUUGCACUCAGGACAGCACUGACACACCAGCUCCCUGCUACCUCUGCCCCUUUUGGACUUUGGGCACCAAGGAGCAUGGGAGGGAGGCCGAGGUGGGGAUAAGGGCAGCUUGGCAUGGGCCUGCAGUUGGCGCUUGGCAUGAACAGCCUGGGCACUGUAGGCAACGUAGCAGUAGGUUGAUGGCAGCAGGAGACAGCUCCUGGGCAGAAAGGGGCGGGUCCCCAGUGAAGCCCCACCUUCAAGGCUGGGCCAGUCUGAAGCCUGGGGACUGGGCUGUCAGUUCUGCAGACCGGAGUGAGAACUUAUGAUGGAUUUUCCGGCCCACCAAUAGCUGCCCGUGAACUACAGGACAACCUGCCUGCUACUCACUUUGUCCGUGUACCUCAUUCUUGGACGCAGAACAAGAAGGCGAGACCCCCCAAAUGGUGAGACAGGAAGAGUUGUAACACAGAGGGCUGAAACACGUCCCUCUCCCCACCUCUUGCCAUGUUGCAGGCGAUCAGAAGAGAGAAGGUGAGAAGAGCUGCAUUCCUUCGGGGAGCCAGACUUAGGAGCUCCCGAAGCCAGGGCUGUGACACCCUCUUUGGGGUUCUGCAGUUCCUGAUAUAUCCAAGCUUCAGGGUCCAACAGUGUUGCCCAAUGCCUGCAGUGCAAGGUGCUUGUGGUAUGUCUGGUCCAGCCGCAGCAAGGAGCCAGCACCGAUGCCAGCACCUGGAGUUGCCUGCCCCGCCAUAGCUGGCGUGCCUGGCUGUGCACAGUGGCUGGUCCCUGCGCACACUCACUCACACACCACUUGCUGCUCCACGCCUGGCUUGCCCUUGGCAGGCAUGGGAUCUGGGCCAAGAGUGAAAGCCGAAUGCAGCCUGCCAGGCUGAGUGGGCUGAAUGAGCCCAGUGGGCCUGAGCAAAACUCGGGCAAAGGCGCCACUGACCACAGAGGUUUUCGGCUAGCAAAGGCACAUUCUAAGGAUCCUGUGACAAGAGGACCCUACCUAGUAACAAUAAGAUAUCACUCUCCAUCAAUCAAUCAAUUGAUCUAUCAACAAACCUAUCAUCUAUCAGCUAUCAUCAAUCUGUCUCUAUGUCUCCAUCUACAAAUUUAUAAUUAUAUACUUAUUUUCUUUUAUAAACUUCUCUAUACUUUCUGAAAUUUCUUCAGUGAUUUUGUUAUUUGAGUAACCAUCUUAAAUCUUAUUUAUAACUCUAACACACACAUAUAGACUGUAUAAAAUUUAAAAGAAAAUCUAUAAAAUUUAGAGUCAGAAAACUUUGGUGUGAAGUGCAUAUUAUCUGUCCCUGUCAUUUUCAAAUUUGGAAAUUUUUCAUAGACCUACUAAGUCACAGCUUCCUCAUCUAAAAUAUUGAAAUAAUGAUAUCAACUAUCAUAUAUAAUUGAAUAAUUAAAUAAAAAAUCAUACAAAGUUUAUCACCAUGGAGGUUCAGAGUGUUAUUUCCAUGCAAUGCCAUAAAACUAAACACAUAUCUUAUGAAAACAGAGACAUAUAUGUAGAAACAAAAACACUUUUUAUGAUAUUUUAUUUCCUAGUGAGUACCUUCACAUCAACUCUAGAUGAUCUAGUUGGCUUGGCCUUGGAUCUAAUUCUGUGUAAGUUUGAACUUCUGGAGAGAUGAAAGUGUAAGAGUUCAGAGAGGUAAGCUACUGAAUGAUUCCAAACCUUGGUCAACUUACGGAGGCCUACAAUCAAUGGUUUGUUUGCGCCAGCAGUGCCAAUGAGUAAAACAAGGAGGCCAACAUGAAUAUGUGAUUACUCGACCAAAUAACUACACAUGGUUCUCAAACUAUGUGCCAAAGCAUCCUGGGGCAUCAUGGAAAAUUCACAAGGGUGCCCUAUGGUAUUUAACAUUUUUGAGAGAAUUACUGCAACAUUUGCCAGAAACUGUGCAUAUGACGAUGAUUAAAUUGUUUAGACCUAAUAUGUUUCAGUUAUAUUUUUCUUUUUGUCUAAGAGAAACGUGAAAAAAAUAAUGAAAUGCUAAGGGUGUUGUGCACCAAAAAUAGUUGAUGUAAAAAGUGUCCCCAUAAGAAAUCACAUAUGUACAGUCAUACAAAACCAUGCAAUAGUCUGGGCAAGGUCACUGUUUUAUAUCUAGCUCUCAUUAUUUUUCUCUUAUUUUCUCAUAUCUUAUUCUGACUCAUGAUGUGCUGCCACAGUUUCUCAGAUUUUCCUUCAAGGUGGGACUACAUUGAUCACAUAUGACUCUUCCUGUGAUGGUGGUCACACCAGUUGCCCGCAGUAUUUCCCAUUAAAAUGCCAUCAUCAUGAGGUGUGGUGUAAUUUUGUUAGAUAAUUUAACCCCACUUGGUCAGUUUCAUCCUGUGAUGAUGACUUUAUUUACUCUUGGGAUAUUUUAAAAAGUAAAAAGGACUCUAAGAGUAGGCUUGUUUCCUAUUAAUUUUUUUCUCUAGCUUUUCAUUUUAAAGUCGAAUUCUAGUUCUUUCUCAUCAAAACCUGCCUGUUCUAUUUCUUUUGAAUGUAUUAACUUUUCAAAUUGACACAUAAUACUUGUACAUAUUUAUGGGGUACAUGUGAUAUUUUGAUACAUGCAUACAAUGUGUAAUGAUCAAAUCAGGGUAAUUGGGGAUACUCAUUACCUCAAAAAUUUAUUAUUUCUCUGUGCCUUUUCUUCCUUCUGUAUCAUAGAUCCACUACCCUCCCAUUCUAACUUUUAUCAAUACUUUAUUUUCAAAAUGUUCUGUUUUACAUAUUUUUUUCUAUAGAGUCUGUCUUAUUAUAAAAUAAGUAAUUUUGUAAUAUUUGUCUUUCUUACUGUAUAUACUUUUCCACAUAUAUUAUGUUGCUACUGAAC
rnacentral:lncRNA from 10 species